ACCUGGUUGGCUCAGUCUGUUGAGUGUCUGACUUCAGCUCAGGUCAUGAUUUUGAGGUUUGUGAGUUCAAGCCCCACAUCAGGUU
rnacentral:tRNA from 1 species